rnacentral:rRNA from 1 species
AUGAUCUUUGCUCUGCCAAGAUGUACUGCCUGUGCACUUUCGGUGGGGUGGCUGCUCCCUUCCAUGACUUCAUUUGGAAGAGCUGCACUCAUCGCUGUCCAGUUCUUCGGGUGGUUGCUGGUUCAGGACCGGAUCCACACUAGGAGCGUCCUCCUGCGGAAGCACAUCAUCACUGUGGCUGAGGCUGGCUGCCCCCUCUGCACUGCCAGAUGCGAGACGGCAGAUCACAUGGUCUUCUGGUGUCCUUUUGCCCGGACUUUCUGGUCCUCUCUUGGGUGUCCGAUGGAGGAUGGGGCGUCUGUGCGAUCAUUGCAUCAUGUGCUUCUUGCCCCUGCUGUCCCCGGUCGUUUUGCGUCCAUGUUUUUGCUGCUAUGCUGUUCGUGGCUUUGGAAGCACCCCAACGGGAUCGUAUUCAAUGGCGACGUGCCCUCUGUCACACGCCUUAGGAGCUUGUGUCAUGAGGACGAUGUCCUCUGGAGGCAUCAGCUGCCUGCAUCCGCCAGGGAUGAUGUGGAUGGGUGGCUUGACUGCCUUGUGGUUAGGUCAGGGUAG